GUCGAACGGUAGAGUAGCAAUACUUGAGAGUGGCGAACGGGUGAGUAAUAUAUCGGAACGUGCCCAGUCGUGGGGGAUAACGUAGCGAAAGCUACGCUAAUACCGCAUACGAUCUAUGGAUGAAAGCGGGGGAUCGCAAGACCUCGCGCGACUGGAGCGGCCGAUAUCAGAUUAGCUAGUUGGUGGGGUAAAAGCUCACCAAGGCGACGAUCUGUAGCUGGUCUGAGAGGACGACCAGCCACACUGGGACUGAGACACGGCCCAGACUCCUACGGGAGGCAGCAGUGGGGAAUUUUGGACAAUGGGCGAAAGCCUGAUCCAGCAAUGCCGCGUGCAGGAUGAAGGCCCUCGGGUUGUAAACUGCUUUUGUACGGAGCGAAACGGCUUCUCCUAAUACGAGGAGCUAAUGACGGUACCGUAAGAAUAAGCACCGGCUAACUACGUGCCAGCAGCCGCGGUAAUACGUAGGGUGCAAGCGUUAAUCGGAAUUACUGGGCGUAAAGCGUGCGCAGGCGGUUAUAUAAGACAGAUGUGAAAUCCCUGGGCUCAACCUAGGAACUGCAUCUGUGACUGUAUAGCUAGAGUACGGUAGAGGGGGAUGGAAUUCCGCGUGUAGCAGUGAAAUGCGCAGAUAUGCGGAGGAACACCGAUGGCGAAGGCAAUCCCCUGGACCUGUACUGACGCUCAUGCACGAAAGCGU
rnacentral:rRNA from 1 species